rnacentral:rRNA from 1 species
AGUGAACGCUGGCGGUAGGCCUAACACAUGCAAGUCGAACGGCAGCGUAGGAGAGCUUGCUCUCUGGGUGGCGAGUGGCGGACGGGGGAGGUAUAUGUCGGAAUCUACUCUGUAGCGGGGGAUGACGUAGGGAAACUGACGUUAAUACCGCAUACGACCUACGGGUGUAAGCAGGGGACCUUGCGGCCUUGCGCGAUUGAAUGAGCCGAGGUCGGAUUAGCUAGUUGGCGGGGUAAAGGCCCACCAAGGCGACGAUCCGUAGCUGGUCUGAGAGGAUGAUCAGCCACACUGGAACUGAGACACGGUCCAGACUCCUACGGGAGGCAGCAGUGGGGAAUAUUGGACAAUGGGCGCAAGCCUGAUCCAGCCAUACCGCGUGGGUGAAGAAGGCCUUCGGGUUGUAAAGCCCUUUUGUUGGGAAAGAAAUCCAGCUGGCUAAUACCCGGUUGGGAUGACGGUACCCAAAGAAUAAGCACCGGCAAACUUCGUGCCAGCAGCCGCAGUAA